UGGUGCAUGGUUGUCGUCAGCUCGUGUCGUGAGAUGUUGGGUUAAGUCCGUAACGAGCGCAACCCUUGUCCUUAGUUACCAGCACGUUAUGGUGGGCACUCUAAGGAGACUGCCGGUGACAAACCGGAGGAAGGUGGGGAUGACGUCAAGUCAUCAUGGCCCUUACGGCCUGGGCUACACACGUGCUACAAUGGUCGGUACAAAGGGUUGCCAAGCCGCGAGGUGGAGCUAAUCCCAUAAAACCGAUCGUAGUCCGGAUCGCAGUCUGCAACUCGACUGCGUGAAGUCGGAAUCGCUAGUAAUCGUGAAUCAGAAUGUCACGGUGAAUACGUUCCCGGGCCUU
rnacentral:rRNA from 1 species